UGGGCAACCUGCCCCCGGCUCUGGGAUAACUCCAAGAAAUUGGGGCUAAUACCGGAUAUGUCCGCUGACCGCAUGGUCUGGUGGUGGAAAGUUUUUUCGGCUGGGGAUGGGCCCGCGGCCUAUCAGCUUGUUGGUGGGGUAGUGGCCUACCAAGGCGACGACGGGUAGCCGGCCUGAGAGGGUGACCGGCCACACUGGGACUGAGACACGGCCCAGACCUCCGUACGGGA
rnacentral:rRNA from 1 species